rnacentral:rRNA from 1 species
ACUAACAAGGAUUCCCUUAGUAACUGCGAGUGAAGCGGGAAAAGCUCAAAUUUAAAAUCUGAGGGUCUUUAUGGCCUUCCGAGUUGUAAUCUAGAGAAGUGCUAUCCGCGCUGGACCGUGUACAAGUCUCCUGGAACGGAGCGUCAUAGAGGGUGAGAAUCCCGUCUUUGACACGGACUACCAGGGCUUAUGUGAUACGCUCUCAAAGAGUCGAGUUGUUUGGGAAUGCAGCUCUAAAUGGGUGGUAAAUUCCAUCUAAAGCUAAAUAUUGGCGAGAGACCGAUAGCGAACAAGUACCGUGAGGGAAAGAUGAAAAGAACUUUGGAAAGAGAGUUAAAAAGUACGUGAAAUUGUUGAAAGGGAAACGCUUGAAGUCAGUCGCAUUGGCCAGGGAUCAACCUUGCUUUUGCUUGGUGUAUUUUCUGGUUAAUGGGUCAGCAUCAAUUUUGAUCGGUGGAAAAAGAUCAAGGGAAUGUGGCAUCUUCGGAUGUGUUAUAGCCCUUGGUUGUAUACAUCGAUUGGGAUUGAGGAGCUCAGCACGCCGCAAGGCCGGGUUUUUAACCACGUACGUGCUUAGGAUGCUGGCAUAAUGGCUUUAAUCGACCCGUCUUGAAACACGGACCAAGGAGUCUAACAUGCACGCGAGUGUUUGGGUGGAAAACCCGAGCGCGUAAUGAAAGUGAAAAUUGAGAUCCCUGUCGUGGGGAGCAUCGAUGCCCGGACCAGAUCUUUUGUGACGGUUCCGCGGUUGAGCGUGUAUGCUGGGACCCGAAAGAUGGUGAACUAUGCCUGAAUAGGGUGAAGCCAGAGGAAACUCUGGUGGAGGCUCGUAGCGAUUCUGACGUGCAAAUCGAUCGUCAAAUUUGGGUAUAGGGGCGAAAG